UUCACAAAAAGGGGGGAAGUGCAGGAUGCAAAAUCUGUGAUGUGAUGAAAUUGCUGGAGCAGUGUGGACAUUCUCUGGGAGGUGGUGAUAUGCUGUCUGACUGUGUACCUGUCUGAGAACCUCGAGAAGCUGAUUACACAUUACCUGGACACCUGUGGGGAAACGGACCAGCUGGACAUUGGAGAGGACAUACCAAAAACUGUGACCAUACGCACACAUACACUACGGACAAUUUAGCCUACCC